rnacentral:rRNA from 1 species
GAUUGAACGCUAGCGGGAUGCUUUACACAUGCAAGUCGAACGGCAGCGCAAAGAAAGCUUGCUUUCUUGGGCGGCGAGUGGCGAACGGGUGAGUAAUGUAUCGGAACGUACCCAGUAGCGGGGGAUAACUACGCGAAAGCGUGGCUAAUACCGCAUACGCCCUACGGGGGAAAGGGGGGGAUCGCAAGACCUCUCACUAUUGGAGCGGCCGAUAUCGGAUUAGCUAGUUGGUGGGGUAAAGGCCUACCAAGGCGACGAUCCGUAGCUGGUUUGAGAGGACGACCAGCCACACUGGGACUGAGACACGGCCCAGACUCCUACGGGAGGCAGCAGUGGGGAAUUUUGGACAAUGGGGGCAACCCUGAUCCAGCCAUCCCGCGUGUGCGAUGAAGGCCUUCGGGUUGUAAAGCACUUUUGGCAGGGAAGAAAAGGCUCUGGAUAAUACCUGGAGCCGCUGACGGUACCUGCAGAAUAAGCACCGGCUAACUACGUGCCAGCAGCCGCGGUAAUACGUAGGGUGCAAGCGUUAAUCGGAAUUACUGGGCGUAAAGCGUGCGCAGGCGGUUCGGAAAGAAAGAUGUGAAAUCCCAGGGCUUAACCUUGGAACUGCAUUUUUAACUACCGGGCUAGAGUACGUCAGAGGGGGGUAGAAUUCCACGUGUAGCAGUGAAAUGCGUAGAGAUGUGGAGGAAUACCGAUGGCGAAGGCAGC